rnacentral:rRNA from 1 species
UGGGGAAUAUUGGACAAUGGGCGGAAGCCUGAUCCAGCAACGCCGCGUGAGGGAUGACGGCCUUCGGGUUGUAAACCUCUUUCAGUACCGACGAAGCUUUUGGGUGACGGUAGGUACAGAAGAAGCACCGGCCAACUACGUGCCAGCAGCCGCGGUAAUACGUAGGGUGCGAGCGUUGUCCGGAAUUAUUGGGCGUAAAGGGCUCGUAGGCGGUUUGUCGCGUCGGGAGUGAAAACCUUCAGCUUAACUGGUGGCUUGCUUUCGAUACGGGCAGACUAGAGGCAUGCAGGGGAGAACGGAAUUCCUGGUGUAGCGGUGAAAUGCGCAGAUAUCAGGAGGAACACCGGUGGCGAAGGCGGUUCUCUGGGUGUGUUCUGACGCUGAGGAGCGAAAGUGUGGGGAGCGAACAGG